rnacentral:rRNA from 1 species
UGAUGGAGCAACGCCGCGUGAGUGAAGAAGGUUUUCGGAUGCGUAAAGCUCUGUUGUUGGUGAAGAAGGAUAGAGGUAGUAACUGGCCUUUAUUUGACGGUAAUCAACCAGAAAGUCACGGCUAACUACGUGCCAGCAGCCGCGGUAAUACGUAGGUGGCAAGCGUUGUCCGGAUUUAUUGGGCGUAAAGCGAGCGCAGGCGGAAAAAUAAGUCUAAUGUGAAAGCCCUCGGCUUAACCGAGGAACUGCAUCGGAAACUGUUUUUCUUGAGUGCAGAAGAGGAGAGUGGAACUCCAUGUGUAGCGGUGGAAUGCGUAGAUAUAUGGAAGAACACCAGUGGCGAAGGCGGCUCUCUGGUCUGCAACUGACGCUGAGGCUCGAAAGCAUGGGUAGCGAACAGGAUUAGAUACCCUGGUAGUCCAUGCCGUAAACGAUGAGUGCUAAGUGUUGGGAGGUUUCCGCCUCUCAGUGCUGCAGCUAACGCAUUAAGCACUCCGCCUGGGGAGUACGACCGCAAGGUUGAAACUCAAAGGAAUUGACGGGGGCCCGCACAAGCGGUGGAGCAUGUGGUUUAAUUCGAAGCAACGCGAAGAACCUUACCAGGUCUUGACAUCUAGUGCCAUCUUCAGAGAUGAAGAGUUCCCUUCGGG